GGGCCCGUGGUCUAGUGGCUAUAACCUUUUGCUAACCGCAAAAGCUUGACCAAAUUGGGCGGCAUGCGCUCUCUACGCUCGCUUAGCCCCCCUUGGUAAAUAGUCGGUUACCAUAAAUGAUAUCGCCUUGACGUGGCGAGGAUCCCCAGUUCGAAUCUGGGCGGGCCCA
rnacentral:tRNA from 1 species